GACAACGUGGCCGAGUGGUUAAGGCGACAGACUCGAAUUUUCAGUUCUUGCUAUCUGUUGGGUUCGCCCGCAUAGGUUCAAAUCCUGUCGUUGUCG